UUUUUUUUUCGCCAUGUUCUU
rnacentral:piRNA from 1 species